rnacentral:misc_RNA from 1 species
GAUGCAGAACGCAGCGAAAUGCGAUAAGUAAUGUGAAUUGCAGAAUUCAGUGAAUCAUCGAAUCUUUGAACGCACAUUGCGCCCCUUGGUAUUCCGAGGGGCAUGCCUGUUCGAGCGUCAUUAUAACCCCUCAAGCUCAGCUUGGUGUUGGGGCCUGCUGCACUGGCAGCCCUUAAAAUCAGUGGCGGCGCCAUCUGGCUCUAAGCGUAGUAAUUCUUCUCGCUAUGGAGUCCUGGUGGAUGCUUGCCAUCAACCCCCAAUUUUUCUAUGGUUGACCUCGGAUCAGGUAGGGAUACCCGCUGAACUUAAGCAUAUCAAUAAGCGGAGGA